GCUCGCCCGCUCUAUUGUUGCUCCUCAGGGCUCCAUUAGACAGAAUUGGACAACAAUGUGGCGCCUGCCAUUGGCCAGGGGAGACAGUCGGCGCUCUGAUUGGCCGGGCCCGCGCCCGGGGAGCCCCUCAUUCUACAGUGUCCGAAAGAUUCGAAACUCCGCACGCUCUGCUGAGUGCCUGCGGGAUGGGAGGGGGCGCCAGGGAAGGAGUGCGCGAGGAGGAGCGUUGCAAAUGUCGUGACAAGAAGUUUCCGUGCGCCUGAGAGCGUGUGAAUUGCUCCUAAUUACCGUGUCCGGUGCGCCUCUCCGCGUAGACCUGUGUAACCCCUCUACUUCUGGGGCUCCGGCUCCACUGAGCCACUCUCCCUUGGCCCGGGGCGCUUGGCAAGGCCGAGCUUCCCAAGUGGCCCCGGAGGCCUGGGGCGGGACAGGAGCAGGUGACAAUUCAAUUACCGCUGUCGAAGUGGGAGUGGAACCCGGGUGCCGGGGUGGGGGAGGGAGGGCGUUCACCACAGACUUGCCAAGACGCUUUUUGCUGGCUUCCUUCUGACCGUGACCGAGUGCUUCCACCUCCGACGGGCUCCGAGGUAGUUGAGAGCCGGUUUGCUCCCUUCCCCCGUCCUCUGUCACCUUUAAUACUUAGUUCCUUCGUUUGCAAAGUCCCGACACCGUGGGCGUCACGGAGGGUAAGUAAGAUUUGUAAGGAUUUGUGUUUUUAAGCGAGGAGCCCAGAGGAGGAACUUGGGUCCACGCGCUGCAGCCUUUCCUCUCCCCGCGCCCCUGCCCCGUACCUCCUCCCCCCGUGCCCUUGCCUUUCCGCAUUUCUUUGCGUCUUGCUGCCCUUUUUGUAGAAUUCUUUUUGCCGUCGUUUGAAAUUAACAAAGUUUACUUGUAACUCUUUUUUUUUUUUAAGCAAAAGUAAAAAGCCGCCUUUGCGCUUCCCCAGAUCCUCUGGAGGCUGGACGAACGGCCAGUCGGUCAGGCCCAUCAGCCCACAAGGCUUCCGCAGGGGGCAAGGGCCCUGGACCAGCUUUGACUUGGCCUUCCUGGACACGUGCUGACGUCACGGCCCCAGAACCGGUUGGGUCUACGGAGGAGAGUAAAGAAAAUUCGUUUAAAUGAAAUGCGAAGCUCUCUCCUCAUUCCCUUUCCUAUCCCUACGGUGUGUUUUGGCGUUGGUGUUUAGAAACCCUGGGCGUCGGAAGUCCGGUCUCUUGACACUGCAGACCGACACCUACUAGGCACACAGAGCCUGCCUGGAGACGCAGCCCCUCCCUCCAAGAGAACCCACGCCGGGACUGGAAAGAAGAGAUCAGCUGGACCCCAAAGCAGAACCACAGGCCUUGCCAGGGUCAGGACGCGCUCCGCCCAAGGAGCCAACUGAUCUGACUGGAGGAGACGUGAGGGGGCGAUGAGCCACAGAAUCUGGCAGACUACUUCCAGAAAGUUCGCCAGGCCUGUUUCAAAGGCGCCGGGACAUGAAUAAUACAGAAUAGCAACCCGGCUGCCCCGCUAUCGGGAGAGUUCUCUCUCUGGAGCCGGACAAAGGUUGUGGUAGGGAGUUAAGGGUCUCGAGAUCCCCUGGGGUCAGAGCAUAGAAUAACUCUAGUUCUGCCCGAGUGCUGGGCUGUGGGAGGGAGGGACAGGAAGGCUCCGUGUGCUGUCAGAUUCCAUGCGAGGCUGCUACCCGCCUGCUUUUAGAGCUUUUGGGGGGAACACUUUUUUCAGAAAAAAACAAAACAAAAAAAAACAAAAACAAAAACUGAACUCCAAAACAAAAUAACCUAGCCAGAGGCGCUUGGUUUUCUGGGAAGGGAUGGCCUAAAUACCCUUUCUAGUUCCUGAGGUUAGUGCCCCCUUAGUCCUGCCACUUAGAUGAACUCACGGGAGACAACGGUUUCGGUUUUGGGAUCCCCGCUCUUGCGUUGACCUGGAUCGGAAACCCCCACCCCCAUUUCCCAGAGAAAGGAUUGUUUCUCAGUGUAACCAGCCCUGCCUGGACUCAUUUUUGUAGACCAGGCUGGCCUCGAACUCACAGAGAUCCGCCUGCCUCUGCCUUUUUAGUGCUGUGCUUAAAGGCGUGUGCCACCUCACUCCGCUGAUCCUCCUUUUCUUAUAGGCAGGAGGUAUCACAUCCUGGAAACCAGUUCAGGUCAAGCCACCGGUAUACCCCGAUUCCCGUGCUCUUUUCUCAAGUUGAUAUCUCCCAAGGUCUGAGACUCCAAGCUCUCUUUUCACAAGAGGAUGGGGGUGCUCACCUGAAGAAAGGAAUCGGGCGGGGGGGGAGGGGGACUGUUCUGGACUGAGAGAACCUUGCGCACAUCGGUUCCCCAGCCCAUUCCUGAUGUUAGCUCCUGCUGAUAUGAGCCUGUCCAAAAAGAAGACUGGAAGUGAUGACCCAGCUAAGCCGCUAGCCUUAGGGAGCAUAUGUCCAGGUUGAGGCAACAGGAUGACAAUGAGGAUGACACCACCACCACCACCACCACCACCACCACCACCACCACCACCACCACCACCACCACGCCCAUCCUAACAAAACUUCACCCUUACGACCUCAAUGCGUGUUUGGACACAUCUUUAUGUACACAUGAAGUAGACGCCCAGCAGGGGGGUGGGUGUGCUCACCUCUGACGUCCUCCCACCCAAGGGACCCUUUCAAAAAGGUUGGCUUCUCGGUAUGCUCUCAUAAGCAUGUUCGCCUGCGGGCUCAAUGAUUUGGUGAGUGACCUCAAACCCAGACGCCUGCAGAGUCUGCACAGUCAGCAUUGGGCAUACCCUCGGGCAAUAUUGUGCCAGUGCUCAGAGCCCCAGACCUCUGCCUGCUGGCAGAAGAAGCCCCAAGACCUCCACUCCAAAUGAAGUGACUGACAGCGAGGACCCAACUCACACUUUCAGAAGUGUCCUCGGCUCAGAAUCAUUUGCUGACGAGUCCGCCAGGCGGGUGGGGAGGGGGUGUGUACACCCAGGCAAGAAGUCCUCCACACCCUCAUUCUCGGACAACGCCAUCCAUCUCUCACAGACACUCCACAGCAGAGGCCCAGAGGGAAGGCCUAGCAUAGUGGCUCUUGUUCCUGCGUGGACUCCAGCACACAAGACAUUUUCCUCCAGUCUUGCUGAUUAAGGCCCCCAGUCGUGCGUGCCCAGCGCGAACGGAGAGAGAGGCAGCCUGUUUUUUUUUUACCCUGUUUCCGCUGAAAUGGUCCUCGGUGAAAUGGCCUAGGCUAGGACCAAGAAAAGUCGACACAACUUUGAAGUUUGGAAAACAAAACAACGAACCGCACUGCCCACUGUGGCUCUGGACUUUUGCGUGUUCCUCCUGUGAGGGCUCCAGCGUCUCGCACUUUCCCUGCAGUGAUUUGUGAAGACCCAUUUUCCCCCAUUAGGUCCUAUUAUCUCACUUUUCAGGUGAGAAACCGAUUCCUAGCUGGAAGGCGGUAGGCAGGAGCGCAAAUUUCAAGCUUGGCGUACCCUUCUCUAGUCAGUUCUGCAAUGUUCUGAGUUCCACCCGAGGCUCUUCCUCGGUGGUGCUCGGGAUGAUGCUCCGCUUCUUAGGGGAAAGGGCACUGGGCUUACUCUUAAGCAGGAGGUGGAAGGGCCAACUGAGGGGGAAGGAGGGAUCGCACUAGUGCAGAGUGUAGCAGGAGGGGCAACACCAAGCUCCAAUCACAGCCAAAGCCACAGACACUGCCCUCCUUGGACAAGCCCUGCAAGGGAGUAGGGUUUACCCAAGUUUGCAAGGCUUUCUUCUAUUUUGAAGUGUCUCCUGGGUUUGCCUCUCAGCUAAAACAUAGGUAUGACCUGUGUUGUUUAGUACACAGUGCUUUUAGGAUGUGCAAUGGCCCAUUUCAGACCUGAGUGGCCCAGGGUGGUGAGGUAACUUGCCUGGGGAUCACCAUGCUGCUAAGGCCUUAAGGAAGAAAUCCAGAUCCAGGGACCAAGUAGUAGGUCCCUGUCCCCUCACCUCAGCUCUAGAUAGAGCAUGGGGCUUAGCGAUUUCUUUCAGGGUUUCUUUAAGUUCAGCAGUUAGUCUAGGAAAACUGAGAAUCUGGCCACUCAUGUAACAGGAGAAAGACUAAUUACUUGUAAUGUGCUCUUACAGAGUUCACUGGUCAACUAGGCACAUGGUUACACACAGUUGAUCUCACAGUGAGAGAACAGAAGGGCUUCCUGAAGGGGCCUUUGAUAUGAGCGUCAGGUCUGCCAGUGCUUGUUCUCAUGAAAGUAAAUACUUUAGAAAUGUUUUAGAAAAAGUAGCAGAAUAUAUUUUGGUAUACGAUUUUUGUGUACUCUUUUUACAAAAAAAUGUUUACACAUAUAAAGCAUUUUUCAUAAUCUUUAAAAGAAUUUUAAAACGUUCAGCUAUAGGGGCAUAUCUUGUUUAGCCAAUUCUUUUUUACAGUUAGUCUCCAUUUUGUGCUCUAAUAACAUUGCUAUUGCGAGCAUCCUUUAUGAAUGUGACCAAUUAUUUCCUUAGGAUAAAUUACUAAAAAUAAGAUCGAGUGAUCAGAGUCUUUCUCUCUCUCUCUCUUUCUUAAAGCUUUUGAUAACUACCUGUCAAACAGCCCCCAGAAAAGGCUGUGGCAGGCAAGGUGCUCAACAGAUGCAUCUUGGGAUCUAAAAUCUUCAUUAAUUCAAGCAAACAGUAUUUCACAGACAUUGCAAUUUACAUUUUCUUAGUUUUUUCUUUAUUUCUUGGUCACUGUGGUCCAUUUUAAAAUAAUCUGCAUUAGUCCUUUAAAAGAUUAGGGCGGCAAUACUUCCACUUAGCUCAGUAGCUAUGCACACACUCAAGGCAAUAGCAUCCUCCUUUCUGCCAUGACUGCUGCCUUUCUCUAUUCUUCCGGUUACUGAUCUUCUUAUCCUAUCUUGGGGCUUUAAACUUUUUUUUAAAGGUAGGCAUGCUUGUUAAUUUUCUCUAAAAAAAUGCUCUAUAUUUACACUAUCUUAAAGGUUUCCCAGUUUCACAUUUCUAAGAUAAUUUAUUACCUGUAUCUUUUACCAUUAGCUCCUUUCAUUAUUUCUAUAAUCCGUUCAGUUGAAAUGAAUUCUUAUGGAAGGUGUGAGGUUUGUAUCCUAACUUUCCCCCCAAAUAAUUAGCUGGCUAUCUCAGGACUGAUUCAUGACCUGCGUGUCCCUCCACUGACCACACACAUCUCAGAAGGCCGUUCUUGGCUUCAGCACUUGUCUGCCCCAGCCUCAGUGAUGCUGCACUUGCUUAAUAUCUGGGAGAGCAGGUCAUACUACAGAUUCCGGAUUCUUCUUUUAUUCAAACUUCUCGUUUUUUUUCCCCCAAAACACAGUAAUCUAAACCAACAUUCUAUAGAUUACAAAUCUAAUUAAAAAUAAGAUAAAAACUAACACCCCUCCACUCCAAUAGGGUUUCUCUGUGUAGCCCUGGCUGUUCUGGAACUCAGAGAUCCACCUGCCUCUGUCUCCUGGAAAGAAAGUGUUAGAAUUAAAGACAUGCACCACCACUGCCAG